rnacentral:siRNA from 1 species
GACGCAUGGACGAGUUUGCUCG